GAUGAACGCUGGCGGCGUGCUUAACACAUGCAAGUCGAACGAAGCGGUUCAUGUGAUUUUCUUGGGGACUGAGUAUUUUGUGACUGAGUGGCGGACGGGUGAGUAACGCGUGGGUCAAAUGCCUUGUAUAGGGUGAUAACAGUUGGAAACGGCUGCUAAUACCGAAUAAGCGCCCGGCAUCGCAUGAUGCAGUGUGAAAAACUCCGGAGGUAUACGCUGGACCCGCGUUGGAUUGGCUAGUGGGCAUGGUUACGGCCCACCAAGGCUAGGAUCAAUAGCCGCACUGGGAGGAUGGGCGGUCACAAGGGGACUGAGACACGGCCCACAGUCCUACGGUAGGCAGCAGGGGAGAAGAUUGCACAAGGGGGGAAAGGCUGGUGAAGCGACGUCUGGGAAGCGAUGAAGUAUUUCGGUAAGUAAAGCUCUAGCAUCAGAGAAGAGAAUGACGGUAACUGACUAAGAAGCACCGGCUAAAUACGUG
rnacentral:rRNA from 1 species